UUUUUAAGAUUUCUCGUUCACUUAAAAUUAGUUAUUUUUCUAUAAUUUUCAUCAUAAUUUUGAUUAUUUAAAAUUUAAAAUCAUAAUUUUGGCCUAAGGGCAGUUAAGCUUAAAUAUAUACCUCUAAAAGCAACUAAUACGCUCUAUGUAUAUACUAGACGACAACAAAAAAAAUUGAAAGAACAAAAAUUAUAUUUUAUAGUAUAUUUUUCGGUUUCAUUUUAGUGGGCCAUUAAAAAAAUAAGGGCAUACAUUCAAGAACGUAUUCAGUGGGAUCUGAGCACUGUCCACUCCAAGCUUUAACAAUUAAUAAAUUUAUCUGAUUGUCAUAUGGUUAAAAAACUCUUUGGUUAUAUAACACCAAAUUUGAUGAAAAAAUAAUAAUUAUACAUCAUAACAUAAAAAAUGUAGAUUUCAUAUACAUGAAAACGCCAAGUUUUCUUAUUCAAUCAAGUUGCACAUGUUUUGAAUUUAUUGAAAUAAAUUCAACAGAGUCUAAAGAAAGAUGUACUGGAAGUUGAGCAGCAAACAAAUGAAUAUUUCUUAUUGUUCUUCUAAUUUUCCUUUUAGUCCAUCCUCCUUCAAUACUGUUAUCAAAAAUAUCACUAUCUUCUUCUUCAAUAAAUGAUUCAUCUUCCAUGAUAUCCUCUUGAUGUCUAUGUAAUUUAUUAUAUUCUUGACAAAGCAAAAUAAAUAUUGAUUUAAUGAA